GGGGAGAUUCCAGAGUGGCCAAAUGGAUCA
rnacentral:sRNA from 1 species